rnacentral:lncRNA from 1 species
GUCACUGGGGUGCGCGACGGGCCCUUCCCUGAGCCCCUUUCCAUGGAGCCCAGGCCCCAACGGCGGCAGCUGCCCCUGCCUGACAUCCGGACCCAGCCUCACCUCUCCUUUCACAGCGAGCCCUGCUGGCACUGGGGGCCUGCAUUCCAGUUUUCCUCCCCAGCUGUGGGAUGCUGUUGGCGCCUUGGUGCCAGCCGCUGAGGUGAGCAGGUGGGUGAGGGGCUCCGUGAAGCUCUGGCAUCUGGUGUCCGGCCCAGGACUUGGGGGUGCUGGCCUCGCCGCCUGGCCGGGUCAUACAUAAGGGGUCGGUCAGCUCUGCCCCAGGCCAGGAUGCUGCUGGGCCCACAGCCGCCCCAGGACCCCCUCAGCCCAGGUGCCCUCCCUCAGUGCUCAGUUCCGGGGAUGACUGUGUCCCCCACCCCGUCACGCUGCUCAGCGAGCACCCUGUAAUCCCAUAUGGUAACUCAUGAAUCUACCCACUAAGAAACCACAACAUGUGAUUCCUCGAGGGAGGCUGGGGGGUAGUCGCGGAGUCGUGGCUGGGCCCAGCCGCGGACUCAGGUCUGUGAUGGGCUAACCUGUGCCCCCACAUCCGCAGGUGGGCGGCCUGACCCUAGACUCAGAGCGUGACUUCUUUGGAGACAGGGUCAUUGAAGGUGUGUGUGACGAUGAGGCCACGGGGUCACCCCUGACCAGUGUGACCAGUGUCCUUAUAAAAGGGGCGUGGACCCAGGCGGGCCUAGAGGGAUGGUGGCACAGAGGCAGGAGAAAAUGCCCACCAAAGCCCAGGAGGAGGCCUGGGACAGGCCCUUCCCGGCGCCUUCAGAGGGAGCCUGGCCCUGCCAGAUGCCUGGUCUCACGUCGGCCUCCAGGACUGCGAGACCUUCCUGCUGUGUGGGUGCCCAGUGCCAGCACUUGCUAAGGGUCCCCAGCCCCAGGAAAGCAGUGCCGUCCCCUGAGCCAAGUGGACCUCUCUCUGCUUCUGUGGCUUCUCUAUAUUUAGUUAUCAUGUUUCAAAGGCUUAUCAAAUCCCUGGGCAUAAAACGUUUUACGAAUCUGUCUAAAUAACGUUCCAAGGUGUCUCAUACUCGACGGAAUCUUGGACGGUGCUGCCCCUUGCAGGUGGCUGGGACUGCCUGGGUACAGCCUCUCCUUGGUUUUCAGCUUGGCUCUGCCUUCACCCCACAUGGGGUUCCGUCUGGCCCUAGCGGGGAGGGUGCUUGGCUCGGGCAGUGGGCUGGGCGGCCCCUGGCCCAGGACGGCUCUGGAGAAUAAGGAGGCCACCACAGGCCGGUAGGCCUGAGACCUCUGCCCCUUCUGAGGCCGCGGGGUUGAGCAGCUGAGCAGCUGACUCUCCCAUGGUCAGUGAGGGCUCAGCAUUUUCUCUUCUGGUUGAAAUAGAAACUGGGAAGUUGGAGGCCAAGAUUGAGGGGCAGGCGGAGGUGGUUCUCCUGCCAAGCUUCCUAAACGGCAGAAGCAGCAGAAGCAGCUAGGGUUAGUGUUGGCUUCUCUCUCUCUCUCUCUCUCUCUCUCUCUCUCUCUCUCUGUGUCUCUCUGUCUCUCUCUGUCUCUCUCUCUCUGUGUCUCUCUCUCUCUGUCUCUGUCUCUCUGUCUCUCGGUCUCUCUGUCUCUGUCUCUCUGUCUCUGUCUCUCUCUCUCUGUCUCUCUCUCUCUCUCUCUCAUUUAUUUCUAGAGCAUUUACAAAUUAAUUUUCCUGGUCUAAACCGGGAGGGGCUGCCAUGAUAAAAUGAAGCUGUUUGGUGUUCCAUGUCGAUCUCCCUGAGACAAUGCACUCCUGAGCCUGCUGGGCCCUGCCUCACAGCUGAGUCCUGGUCAGGGCCCUGCCCCUUCUUCCUCUCCCUUGGCCCUGGUUCCACAGAGACCUAUUUCUCCAGGGCAUCCAGGAAGCACCUACGGUGAUGGGGGAUUGCAUUUCAGCAGCAAUCCAUGUGUGAACAUUAAAACGAUCUCCUUAAAUAUUCAUGGUGACCAUGACCUCAUCUGGCUGCCUCGGGCCAGGGCUGGGUGCAGGUCAGGGAAGGGGGCUCAGGCCCUGAGACCCCAGCCUGGUCCCCAGCAAUACAGCUCCCCUCUGUCCUCUCCUCUCUGAGUCAACCCCUCCUGAGAGCUCCGAUGUCUCCUCUCUGGGGUGGCAGAGGUGGGGGCUGCUUUCCAAGCAAAGAAAUGCUCUGGGGCCACGUGGGAAUAAAUAUUUCAUGGGAGAGCAGACCUAGCCAGUAAAAAAUUAAGCAGCUUUACAUCAUCAGAGAGAGAAAGAAAGGGUUGCCUCAUGUUAUGAGUCUGCUGGUGUCCUUAGGACAGAGACAGGGAGACUGAGGUUUUGGGGUAAAUUAUUUAGGGUGUUGUAGGCUGGUCUAGGAAUGUUAAGCUGAAAUGAGACCGGCCCUGGAAGACGACAGGGGGAGCUGGGGUAAGAAGUGCUGCCUUAUGGAAGGCGUGGCGUGCAGAGACGCUGGCCACGAGGAACCCUUUCCCCGUGCACCUGCGCAGUAGCGCCUGCCUCGCGGGAGGCCCCACAGAUGUUGUUGAAUAAAGGGGCAGUGAGUCAGUGAGGCCAUUUCAGCCAUUUUUCUGUUGCCGCCUCACUCUGGAUUUAUGAAAGUACUUGCUAAUCGACGAUCGUCUUCGCCCGGCAUGCUGCAAAUUCACGUUUAUAUGCCCCCUGCCUCCCCCAAAUCAGCUACGGCAGAGUCAGGGGCAGGGACGGGUGGGCAUGGCCGGGCAGCUGCUCGGCUGCGUCACGCCGGGGGUGGCUGGAGCUGAUUCGGAAGCAGUGAAAUGUGGGCCCGCGUGGCUUCCCUGGAAAGAAAACAGGUCCUUGCCUAGAAAUUCAGUGGGUGACCUAAGAUGAUUGAGGGCUGUGUCCAUGUAAAUUUUUCAGUAAGGUGAGGGGCCAGUUUGUCAGUAAACUCCCUGGUGCUGUAAUUAGGGGGCUAUGUUCAGGAACUGGCUUCCUAAUGUGCAUUGAGGGCAGUGCUGACGCAGCCCAUGUACAUGCUAAAUACACGUGGGAGUGUUUGUGAAGAGACAGGCCUGCACAACACAGGGGACCUGACACUGAGCAUCCAUGUGGCCCUUUCUGGUACCCAGAACUGUGCACCCCCCUGUGCAGCAUCUCACAGGACUAAACAGACAGUAACACAACCCCGAACAGACAGUAAAAACCCGGAACAGAGAGGAACAACCCUGAACAGACAGUAACAACCCGGAACAGAGAGGAAGAACCCCAAACAGGCAGUAACAACCCCCAACAGGCAGUAACAACCCCGAACAGAGAGUAACAACCCUGAACAGAGAGGAACAACCCCGAACUGAGAGGAACAACCCUGAACAGACACUAACAACCCAGAACCAGGCAGUUACAAGCCUGAACAGACAGUAACAACCGGGAACAGACAGUAACAACCCUGAACAGACAGUAAAAACCCGGAACAGAGAGGAAGAACCCCAAACAGGCAGUAACAACCCCCAACAGGCAGUAACAACCCCGAACAGAGAGGAACAAUCCCAAACAGGCAGUAACAACCCCGAACAGAGAGGAACAACCCCGAACUGAGAGGAACAACCCCAAACAGGCAGGAACAACCCUGAACAGACACUAACAACCCAGAACCAGGCAGUUACAAGCCUGAACAGACAGUAACAACCGGGAACAGACAGUAACAACCCUGAACAGACAGUAAAAACCCGGAACAGAGAGGAAGAACCCCAAACAGGCAGUAACAACCCCCAACAGGCAGUAACAACCCCAAACAGAGAGGAACAAUCCCAAACAGGCAGUAACAACCCCGAACAGAGAGGAAGAAUCCCAAACAGGCAGUAACAACCCUGAACAGACAGUAAAAACCCCGGAACAGGGAGGAACAACCCCAAACAGGCAGGAACAACCCCAAACAGGCAGUAACAACCCUGAACAGAGAGUAACAACCCCGAACAGACAGUAACAACCCCGAACAGGCAGUAACAACCCCAAACAGAGAGGAACAACCCUGAACAGACAGUAACAACCCUGAACAGACAGUAAAACCCCAGAACAGAGAGGAACGAACCCAAACAGGCAGGAACAACCCUGAACAGGCAGUAACAACCCUGAACAGAGAGUAACAACCCUGAACAGACAGUAACAACCCAGAACAGGGAGGAACAACCCGGAACAGAGAGGAACAACCCCAAACAGGCAGGAACAACCCCAAACAGGCAGUAACAACCCCGAACAGAGAGUAACAACCCCGAACAGACAGUAACAACCACGAACAGGCAGUAACAACCCCGAACAGAGAGGAACAACCCUGAACAGGCAGUAACAACCCUGAACAGACAGUAAAACCCCAGAACAGAGAGGAACAACCCCAAACAGGCAGGAACAACCCUGAACAGGCAGUAACAACCCUGAACAGAGAGUAACAACCCUGAACAGACAGUAACAACCCAGAACAGGGAGGAACAACCCCAAACAGGCAGGAACAACCCCAAACAGGCAGUAACAAACCCGAAAAGAGAGUAACAACCCCGAACAGACAGUAACAACCACGAACAGGCAGUAACAACCCCGAACAGAGGGGAACAACCCCGAACAGAGAGUAAUAACCCCAAACAGGCCGUAACAACCCCGAACAGGCAGUAACAACCCCGAAGAGAGAGGAACAACCCCGAAAAGAUAGGAACAACAUCGAACAGAGAGGAACAACCCCAAACAGGCUAUAACAACCCCGAAGAGAGAGGAACAACCCCGAAAAGAGAGGAACAACCCCGAAAAGAGAAGAACAACACUGAACAGAGAGGAACAACCCCGAACAGGCAGGAACAACCCCGAACAGGCAGGAACAACCCCGAACAGAGAGGAACCCCGAAAAGAGAGGAACAACACCGAACAGAGAGGAACAACCCCGAACAGGCAGGAACAACCCCGAACAGAGAGUAACAACCCCGAACAGAGAGUAACAACCCCAAACAGGCAGUAACAACCCCGAACAGGCAGUAACAACCCCGAACAGAGAGGAACAACCCCGAACAGGCAGUAACAACCCCGAACAGAAAGGAACAACCCCAAAAAGAGAGGAACAACACCAAACAGAGAGGAACAACCCCGAACAGGCAGGAACAAUCCCGAACAGGCAGGAACAUCCCGAACAGUCAGGAACAACCCCAAACAGAGAGGAACAACCCUGAACAGGCAGUAACAACCCUGAACAGAGAGUAACAACCCCGAACAGAGAGGAACAACCCUGGACAGAGAGGAACAACACCGAACAGAGAGGAACAACCCCAAACAGACAGUAACAACACCGAACAGGCAGGAACAACCCCGAACAGGCAGUAACAACCCCGAAGAGAGAGGAACAACCCCGAACAGGCAGUAACAACCCGAACAGAGAGUAACGACCCCGAACAGGCAGUAACAACCCCAGAGAGGAACAACCCGCAACAGAGAGGAACAACCCCGAACAGAGAGGAACAACCCCGAACAGAGAGGAACAACACCGAACAGGCAGAAACAACCCCGAACAGGCAGGAACAACCCCGAACAGGCAGGAACAACCCCAAAUAGAGAGUAACAACCCCGAAAAGGCAGUAACAACGCCAAACAGAGAGGAACAACCCCGAACAGAGAGGAACAACCCCGAACAGGCAGGAACAACCCCGAACAGGCAGGAACAACCCCAAACAGGCAGGAACAACCCCAAACAGAGAGUAACAACCCCGAACAGGCAGUAACAACCCCAAACAGAGAGGAACAACCCCAAACAGAGAGGAACAACCCCGAACAGACAGUAACAACCCGGAACAGAGAGUAACAACCCAAAACAGGCAGUAACAAUCCCGAACAGGCAGUAACAACCCCGAACAGACAGUAACAGCCCUGAACAGAGUGUAACAACCCCGAACAGAGAGGAACAACACCGAACAGGCAGUAACAACCCCGAACAGAGAGUAACAACCCCGAACAGAGAGGAACAACCCCAAAUAGUCAGUAACAAUCCCGAACAGGCAGUAACAACUCCGAACAGAGAGUAACAACCCCGAACAGAAAGUAACAACCCCGAACAGAGAGUAACAACCCCGAACAGGCAGUAACAAUCCGGAACAGAGAGUAACAACCUGGAACAGGCAGUAACAACUCGGAACAGGCAGUAACAGCCCUGAACAGGCAGUAACAACCCGGAACAGAGAGUAACAACCCUGAGCAGGCAGUAACAACCCGGAACAGGCAGUAACAACCCCAGCUAAACCAAUAGAACCGGCCUGGCAGCCACUCCUGUUCCAGUGCAGCACUCCACCAUGCAGAGGGGUCGGAGAAGCAGUUGUAGGUCACAGCAAGGAGUGGGCCGUGGGGAUCAUGGCCAGGUCGUGAAAUCCAAGUGGCACCCGCCAUGGCACCAGCCAGAACAGGUCCCCUCCUUUCCAAAGGGCAGAGCUGGGGCUGGCCCUGGAGAUGCUGGGGUCAGCAAGGGCUGGGGCUGCGCUCCCUCCUGGGUCUGUGUCAAAAGCAGCCAGCACCGAAGCCUGUCCACAUCGGCCAGGCCCUGUGCAAGCCGCGCUUCCCAGCAGACGGCACGGAAUUGCUGCUUAUCAGCGACUGAGCUGGCCGUGUUUAGGAGGACGGGGUGAUGCCACUGACACUGAGGGAGGCGUGAAGCCUGAGACGCGCCUGUGAGACCGGGACCGGUGGGGCCGGCGCGCGCCCAGAUUCCAGCUCUGCCCCAGGAGCCUGAAGCCCCCAGCAACCUGCAGUGUGGGCUCUGAGAAACUCGGUGAAACAGGGCUUCCCUGCAGGUGGCCAGCGGAUGGGACAAUCAGGGCAGACUUGGAGGUCUCUGAAGUCUUGGAAAGUCUGAAGGGCAGGCCAGCCUGGGAGAUGGAGGACACACUGGAGUGGCAGGUGCCUCGGGCGGCCGGCUGAGCACCAAAGAGGGACUUCUCACACACAGGUCCGCUUGGUCUCCUACACGCUUGCCCACGCGCUCCGUGGAUGCAGGAGCCGUGGUUAUCCUUGGCAGAAGGUUGAGUAGCACCUGCCUUGCCAGGGACCUGCUCCAAGCAGGCACGUCUGGUGAAUGCUGUGCCAGGCCCUUCCGGGAGCAGCCCCUCCCCGGGUGCCGGGGUCACCUGGCUCUGCCUGCCUGCAUGUGGAUCCCUGCGGGGCAGCGGGCACCCGGAUGACGUGGUUUUCCCUCACUGGAUUGGAGUGGAGUGAAUUUAACCCCCUCGUGGCUGCCAUCAUUUUCACUGUGAGGGAAGAGCAGCCGUGCCGUGGUGGUUUUAGAUGUCGUCUGUGGAGGACAUCAGGCUGACAUCCACGUCCUGGACUCCCCCUCGUUUGGUUUCAGAAUUUCUCUUAAAGACAACAUCAUAUUGUGACCCCAAAGCAUUCGAUAGAAAUAUCAAAAUUUUAAGGCACUUUGAGAAUUAAGAUAAAAUAUCUGUAAAUAUUAUGUCAAAUUUCACCA